AUCCUUACUUGGCGGGGAUCUCCAUGAUCACAAAUCUGGUUUUCCUAGGGUGAGGCUCACCCAUUGCACUCUGGGUGUGCUGACCCCUGCAAUUUCCCUAAAUGCAGGAAACUUGACUGCAUAAUUUGUGGUAGUGGGGGAUAGCAUUCAUACUUUUCCGUG
rnacentral:snRNA from 1 species